rnacentral:rRNA from 1 species
UACAGAGGGUGCGAGCGUUAAUCGGAAUGACUGGGCGUAAAGGGCGCGUAGGUGGUUUUUUAAGCUAGAUGUGAAAUCCCUUGGCUUAACCAAGGAACUGCGUUUAGAACUGAAUAACUAGAGAGAAGUAGAGGUAAGUGGAAUUUCCAGAGUAGCGGUGAAAUGCGUAGAUACUGGAAGGAACACCAGUGGCGAAGGCGACUUACUGGACUUUUUCUGACACUGAGGCGCGACAGCGUGGGGAGCAAACAGG